CCUACGGGUGGCAGCAGUGGGGAAUAUUGGGCAAUGGGCGCAAGCCUGACCCAGCAACGCCGCGUGAAGGAAGAAGGCUUUCGGGUUGUAAACUUCUUUUCUCAGGGACGAAGCAAGUGACGGUACCUGAGGAAUAAGCCACGGCUAACUACGUGCCAGCAGCCGCGGUAAUACGUAGGUGGCAAGCGUUAUCCGGAUUUACUGGGUGUAAAGGGCGUGUAGGCGGGAAAGCAAGUCAGAUGUGAAAACCAUGGGCUCAACCUGUGGCCUGCAUUUGAUACUGUUUUUCUUGAGUACUGGAGAGGCAGGCAGAAUUACUAGUGUAGCGGUGAAAUGCGUAGAGAUUAGGAGGAACACCAGUGGCGAAGGCGGUCUGCUGGACAGCAACUGACGCUGAGGCGCGAAAGCGUGGGGAGCAAACAGGAUUAGAUACCCGGGUAGUC
rnacentral:rRNA from 1 species